CUUGUCUUUCGCUGUCUGACUUUUUUUUUUUUAAAUAGGGUACCAAAAUUAAAUAAAAUCAAACAAUUAAGUAAAUGGGGAAGACUAAGAGACAAUGACCAGCAACCAGAUCUAUACAGAGAACCUACACGCAGUGGUACAGAAAUGACUGAACAGUAAUUACACCUAUCUUCAGUUGAAUGUACUAUAAAGGAAUUGUUGAGACACCCUUAACUCUUACAUACCGGGAGAACUCCCUUCAGACUACACUCAGCAAGAGAGAGAAAGCGCAAAGAAGUAUUCUGGGUAAUAAAAAACUGGUGGCAGGAAUUUUGCAAAGCACCACGGUAAAAGCAAACCUCCUUAGCAAACAAAUAGUUAGUGAAGAUUCCAUUUUUUCCUUUUUGUCUUUUUAGGGCUGUACCAGAGGCAUAUGGAAUUUCCCAGGCUAGGGGUCAAAUUGGAGCUGUAGCUACUAGCCUACACCACAGCCACACAAUGAGGGAUCCGAGCUGCGUCCGUGACCUACACCACAGUUCACGGCAACGCAGGAUCCUUAACCCACUGAGAGAGGCCAGGGAUCAAACCUGCAUCCUCACGGAUACUGGUCAGGUUCAUUAUUGCUGGGCCACAACAGGAACGCCAAGAUUCUUACUGAAAAUGUGAUUUUUGAGCCAACAGAGAAGUUGAUUUUUUUAAUAGACAUUCCAGUGCAAAACAGUGUGGGAGAAAGGUCAGAAAAGAGCCAAGAACCUUAAAAACUGUAGUUGGGAACAGAGAGCUGAUUUCCCCUUGUCCUUUACCUUCGAAGGCUUUCUGUUAUUUGUGUACACGCAUACAUGUAUAAGGCAGAUAUGUUAAGUCUGAAAAAGCCCCUGGGGAUUCUGACGUCCAUGCCCCUUGGCAGCCUCCCCUCCCCAGGCACCCUCUCCCGCAGCCUUGAAAACAUCGCUGUGGGUUCUCUACACAGAUGACCGCCGCACGGAGCUUUACUACCACAUACAUCACCACGUUUGAGUCUCAAAAUAACCUGGAGAAGGUGGGUGCUGCUAUUAUUCUCAUUUCACAGAAGAGAAAUAUAAAGUUCACAGAGGUAACACAAGCAAUUUGCCCAAGGUCACGGUGAGGGGUCGGGAGGGAAGCUGUGAAAGCACUUGAGGAAACAAAUAACAAACAUGGGUGGUGGGAGGCAGACCUCCUCCGGGGAGGGGAGGCCAAGCUCUCGGCAGUGGGCCUGGGACCAAGGAGAUUGGUUCAAAAGAGGCAGGGGGAGGGUACACAGGAUACUCUUGGGUUUCACGGGAACCCAUGAUAAUUUCUUACAUUCAAAAAAAGGCCUGAAGUAAAUAUUGUAAUAUUCUCUAUACUUUCCUGUACACUUAAAUUCUUGUAUUAAAAAUACAAGAAUUCCAGAGUUGCCUGGUGGGUAGGGGAUUAAGGAUUCAGCAUUGUCACUGCUGUGGCUCGGGUUCAAUCCCUGGCCUGGGAAUUUCCACAUGUUGCAGCAACAACAACAACAAACAAACAAACAAACAAACAAACAAAAAACACCAGAAUUCUAUGGGCAAAGUUCAGAGAUACCACAAUACUGAGGUUAGGAUGCCAAGGAAUAGACAGUACCUGAGGCCUAGGUAGAAAAGGUUUUACUUCUCUGGGGAUCAGAACAGGUGAAAGUAUAAUUCUGUCUAGGGUCAAGGUUAGACCUAGGAGUACACCAGCAGGAGAGAAGAGAAUUAUGCAAACAGCAGACCUAGAGGGGAAGUGGGGAAAGGCCAAGGAAUCCAGCCACACCCUACACUGGGUCAAGCUGAUUCAGUAACCUAAGGCCACAUGCCGAGGACUAACUUACUCUGUAAAUUGUCCUAAAAUAAUUCCCCACUUAACAGAGAAAUCAUUUGUACUUUUAAAAACCAGCUGAAUGUACCCAAGCACAAUGCAGCUAGGCCUAUGGGAAGGAGACAAGACCAGUUUGAAAAAGAACAAAGGCUAUGCAUGUCGGGCUUUACCUUGAAGGAGAAAUUCCUCACUAUCUUACAAGUGAGGGCUAUUGGAAAUGACUUGAGCAAGGGUGGGGACAAAGCCUGGGCGACCAGGAGUCACGGGCUGGGGGGCAGUAUUGCCUCAACCCCACUGGGGAAACCAUUUCGUAAAAAACUCUUGUAUCCUUCUCUGUCUUGCUGGUUUUAUGUCCCUGAUCCUUCCAUGUUAACACGGGGGGAGGGGUGGGGAGAAGGGUGGAUCUUGCAUAGCUGGGCCCAGAAUAGAACUCCAGCGCCCUGUCUCUUGGUUCACUUCUGGACCAUGCUACCUCAGGAAGGAACAUUUGAAAAUAGUAAUUCUCUCCCACCUUGCAACCAAGCUGUGCAGGAGCACAUGAUCAAUGAAUGAAGCUGGCUAAGUGACUCAGCACCCGGCUGGCGCUCCUGUGAGUCAGGCCCAGAAUCCUGAGUGGUUGGAAGCACAAUCUCUUUAAAUUAAGACCUUAAAACCAAGGUCUUUACCACCUGAGAGCACUGAAAGAUUUCAGGGUAUUUUAUUUUGUCUGAACAAGUAUCAGGAUGUCUCCUCUCGCAUCCUAGAUAUGAAUCGGCUUGAGUAAUUAAAUCGUCCAUAAUUUUCAUGGAUGUCAC
rnacentral:lncRNA from 1 species